rnacentral:rRNA from 1 species
UAUCACUAAGCGGAGGAAAAGAAACUAACCAGGAUUCCCCUAGUAACGGCGAGUGAAGAGGGAAUAGCCCAGCACCGAAGCCUGUGGCAGUUUUGCUGCAAGGCAAUGUGGUGUUUAGGUCGAUUUAUGGACAUGCCACUCCAUUCGAAGUCCAGCACUGAGUAUGGUUCCAAUGGACUUGGCCCAGAGAGGGUGAAAGGCCCGUGCGGAUGGAGGUAUCAGGUAUGAUGGUGUGUCCCCGAGUUGACCUUGGAGUCGGGUUGUUUGAGAUUGCAGCCCAAAGCGGGUGGUAAACUCCAUCCAAGGCUAAAUACUAGCACGAGUCCGAUAGCGAACAAGUACCGUGAGGGAAAGUUGAAAAGUACUUUGAAGAGAGAGUAAACAGUACGUGAAACCGCCUAGAGGUAAACGGGUGGCGUCAAGCUGCAAGCCCGGAGGAUUCAAUUGGUCAGUGUUUGUGCUCGUGUGCUUGGGCACGCCAGUCAACUUGGAGGGUCGUCACCAGUAUUGGUGAGCUGGUUGGUUUACGCCUGCCGGUAUUCUGUUGCAUGGUAUGUGGCAGAGGCUCACACCAAGUGUUGUAAUUGGACUGACUGGCCGAUGCACUUCCUCCGUGGUGGACACCACGACCGGCGGAACUGUCAGUCUGCCUUGACCAGAACAGGUUGUUGCGUAGCUGUGUAAAUGGUUGCGUGCUCCUGUUAUUCAACGGUAUUCGGUGUGGAGUGUAGUGGGUGUCAAAGCCUGUUACUGCUCUCACUGGGUGCAAGCAGGCCUGUUGCCCUUCAGGGGGUGACUUGACUGGUGGGACUUGGUGGUAUGUAUAACUGUACAGGGCGCCGGAGUUGACGGUCACAUUGCACUACGGGGCGUACGGUGCGUAUGGACUUGCGGUUAGCUGUUGAACGACGUGACGCUUGUGCAAACAAGCCCGAUGGUGGUUGACACUUGUGCUGUGCGUAGUGUAUGUGCGCUGGUGGAGUGUUAUGAAGGACCUAUAGAUCUGUGGUGCUGUGGUAGACUAGCCA